rnacentral:lncRNA from 1 species
GGAAAUGCAUUUACUUAUAAACCCUUAUUCAUAUCUUAUCUCAUCCAAUGUGAGACUCUUUAACACACAAACCUCUCACGUUAAGGACUAGAUAUCUGAAGAUAGUAGUACCCAGGAAAGUAUGCGGAUUUGAUGGCGGAAUCAAUGUUUGGAUGCAAGAAACAGUUUUAAGGCAUUUUGCAAUAUCGGUAGGAAACUGCCAACAUCUGCU